rnacentral:rRNA from 1 species
UACGGGGGGGGGCAAGCGUUGUUCGGAAUUACUGGGCGUAAAGGGUUCGUAGGUGCCAACUAAGUCAGACGUGAAAUCCCUCAGCUCAACUGGGGAACUGCGUCUGAUACUGAUUGGCUUGAGUGCAGGAGAGGAACGCGGAAUUCCAGGUGUAGCGGUGAAAUGCGUAGAUAUCUGGAAGAACACCAAUGGCGAAGGCACCAUCCUGGGAAGCAUCUGACGCUCAGGUGCGAAAGCUAGGGGAGCGAACGGG